AGUGUCUGGUCUUCUGUCCUGUCUGCAGCUGAGCAGAGGCAGGGCGUGUGAGCGGUGAACCGCACAUGGUCUCAGCCAGGGAGCCUGCAGGCCCAGCCAGCCUGAAAUACGGUGUGUGGCAGCUUAGGCAUCAAGGUCUGGGGCUGAGGGCUAAAGAAACACCGGGAACAUCUUGAGAUACCAAUGUUUCUCAGGUCAUUGAUGGCGGGGAGGGCUCACCAGAAUGUAUCAUGAUGAAGCAGGAGACUUCAAGGCAAAGUAAUGCUGAGCACGGCUGUUUCCACACUCCUUGACUGUACCAAGUGGAGGAAACAGACUUGAGAAGUGUGGAAAGACGUUUGCCAUUCAUUAGCUUGUCACGUGCCCCAGCGUGAGUACAGGUUUCUCCUCUGCCUCUUCUAACUUAACAAUCCAGACACCGGCUGGCGGUGCUGUGGCCGACCCAGUCCAUGAAGCCAGCCGGGCUGAGCCUAACCUAGCCUUCUUCUGAUACUUCCAUGACAGCAUAGAUUUUAAAACGUGUCCUCAUGGUUCAUCCUCGCAGCGUGUGUCAGUACUGCAUUCCUUUUGAUGGAGGAAUAGUAUCCCAUUAUAUGGGUAUACGGCAUUCUGUUUAGCCAUUCUGCAGCUGAUGGAGGAUUGCAGUGUUUUCCCUUUUUGGCUAUGAUGAAUAGUGCUUCAGUGGACACUUGUGGGGUCUGCAGGACGGGGUGACCCCCGCUAUGUGCUGCACUCUGCUUGGGGAAGACUCGCCAUUUGGGGACAUCCAGAGCUGGGUUUUCCAGCCGGAACAAAGGAAAGACAACGGGGCAAGGAAGGCACCUACACGUGUCACUGAAUGCGCCUUCUGGUGGAGAAGAGGCUCCCGUCGUAGGUUUUGUGAGUACCUGGCUUCAGAGGGGCAGCAGCUGCCAGUGACAGAGUCCUCGGAGUGGCCCCACAAUUGGUGGCUGAAUGGCAUGGAGGGUCUGCAGGGCCGUGGAUGGCAGGGGACCCAGGCCGGCCUGGGGAUGGGGCGUGCUUGUGCGUGAGCAGACUGCCCGGGCUGAUGGCAGGUUUGGGGUGUGGAGGUGGGCUGCGGGCCAGGUGCCCGAGUCCCCAGGGGAUGAAGACAGGACUGGGAAGAUGGUACAUGGCUGUGGGCAACGGCACACUGGGUGCGAUAGGGUCCCCCGAAUUCAUGUCUUUCUGGAACCUCAGAAUACAACCUUAGAAAUAGGGUCAUUGUAGAUGUGAUUAGUCAAGAUGAGGUCACACUGGAGCAGGAUGGGCCCUUAAUCCAAUAUGACUGGUGUCCUUAUGAGAGGAAAGGGACACAGAGAGAAGAGACACAGACAGAGGCCAUGUAAUGAUGGAGACAGAUUGGAGUUAUGGAGCUGCCAGCAAGGGGUGCCAAGGACGGCCAGGAGCCACCAGCAGCUGGAAGAGGCAGGAAGGCUCCUCCCGCAGCACUUCCAGUGGGAGUAUUAACCCGACAACACCUAGAUUACAGACUUCUGGCCUCCAGGACUGUGAGACAAUAAAUGGC